UGGCCGGCAUGACUGCAUGGAACGCCGUUACUUUCCCGCCUGAGCGGUACCUAUUGAUCUACUCACAUUUGCAUGUUUUCGAACUGCUAGGUUGGCAGAAGCUGGAGCUAACAGCGGGAGCUCACUCCACUCCCCGGAUUUGAACCUGGAACCUAUUGGUCUGCAAGUUCAGCAGCUCAGCGCUUUAACACACUGAGCCACCGGAGGCUCGCCCAUGACUGAUAAGGGCAAAAAUACCUGGUCCCCGGUUAACCUAAACCUGAGCAACCUUUAAGAGGAAUGUGUUGGAGAAGUCUCCCACAAAGUUGUUGAGGCCAGACUCUCCCCAUUCCAAGGGCAUUUAGUUUCACCUCAUCUCUUCAAGAUGGAUACCAGAUAAAUGUUUUAGCUUAUGGCCUUCAGCCCAAAGGGGGUGGUGCCCUUGGUGUAUGCCAGAUUGUAUAUUCCCCUAUCAAUUUACCGGCACAGAUUGCGGGCAGAUGUCCAUCUUGUCCCCAACCCCCACCAAAUUUUCUAACACCUCCCUAAUUCCUGCCUGCAAACCUAACAGAAAUUGAAAGUUGCCCGCAUCCAAAAAGGAAUGAAGUUGAGGCGGCUGGCUAAUUCCUGCCCAUCUCUUCUCGGGGGAGAAGGCAAAUAACUCUCUAGUCCCACAGCUUUGCUGUUGGAAGACAGUCCCAUGUGUAUAUACUGUAUGUGCAUUGAAAAUGCCUGUAAAAUAAUGCAUAACUCAUUAUAGACACCUGUUCUUGGUGAAGUACUUUGUAGGCUUCAGAAUGAGGGGCAAGGUGGCUGCUGAAAAAAGGCCUCAGUGUCAUGGCUCGCUAGUAGGGGGCUAAGUGACCCACUAGGAGGGGUAUUUGAUGACCUCUUCCCCUACCUGUCAGUCCUCCUUCCCUCACUUCCAAUGUCUCUGGAGUACUGAUAUCUCUCCUGGAAUUGGGGGGAAACCUGUAGAGUAGUUUGAGGCCAUGUCCCAUGGUUAGUGUAAUCACCACCCUGGUCUCAAACCAUUUUUAUGUCUGUCAUCUAAUUACCUGUGCACCAAAAAUGGUUCCUCCCAGAUAAGUUCAAAGAUGCCUUAUACUGCCAGUGCAGAUGUGUCCAAAGUCAAUUUAAGUUAAAAACCGAAGCUGCCUGGGUAAAUGUGGAGAUCAAAAUACACAAUGCUUUUACAUUUUAUACUUCUCUAAUUUUCAUGACACAGUUCUCAGCUUUUUAAAAAGGCUACAAAAACUAUAAUAUGUGUUUUAAGAUAAAGGAUGCUUAGAACAUUUUGGAAAAAUGCAUUCAAAAGUCAAUUUAAAUAUGAACUUAAAUGAAGAUUUUCAUGAAAUUUAAAGGUAUUCACAAUGUAGAUACAAGGAGGAAUAGAUUUAUGAAUGGGUGUACCAUUCAUGUUACAUAUGACAUAUCAGGCAGCAGAAAUAAGAAAAGCCACCAGUUUGUUUCCAUUGUCAUACAGGUUGAGCAUCCCUUAACUAGAAAUCAAAAAUUCUCCAAAAUUUGAGAUUGUCUACAUGGGUGGUUGAGAUAGUGAUAGUGCUUUCCGACAAUGACCACAAAUUUUGUUUUAUGUACAAAAUUGUUCAAAAUAUUGUAUAAAAUUACCUCAAGGCUAUGUCUAUUGUAUGUAUAAUAUGUGAAUUCUGUGUUUAGUGUUCAGACUUCGGUCUCCAAGAUAUCUCAUUAUGUACAUAUAUGCAAAUAUAGAUAUUCCAAAGUUCAAAGAAAUACAAAUUCCAAAACACUUCUGGUUCAAAGGAUUUCAGAUAAGGGAUACUCAACCUGUUUUUGGAUCAAAAGGCCAAAAUGUAAUCAGCAAAAAAUAUUAUUGAUGCAUUGUUGCUAGAUGUUUUCAGAUGUAAUAUAAGCUGGACUAUUAUUUAAAAAAUGUAAAUGAUGAUAUAGAGUAACAAAUAGAGUGGAUAUUUGUUAUUAUUCUUUCAUAAAAACAGAAAUGCACGGUUUUCAAAUUGGUCAUGCUAAUUGACUAAUUAGGUUUCACUAUGAAGUCACUAUGUUUAUUACAGCCUGUAUUCACAGUUUUCUUCAUAGACAUGGAGUAAACAUAGUUGUUUCUCACUCCCCUCCCCAACUCCUCUCAUUUUUAAAAUAAUUACAGGGAGAGAGUAACCAGCAGGAUUGCCUUCAAAAUGAUAGAGAUCCUUAGAGCAUCUUUAAGAUUUCCCAAGACAAGUUUUAAAACUUUUUAUAUUUCUGUUCAGGUGAAUUGGCCCAGUUGUGCUGUUUAAGACAUAAUGUCCUUGUCUAUAAUCUUUGUUUUUCAAACCCAAUUGAAUGCUUUAUGUAUUACCAUGACUACUAGCUUUAGCUCUAGACAAAAUAGCUUGUUUAUUUUUAUUUUCCCCUCUUAACAUGCAAAACAAAUAUUAUACAUGCAAUUAUUAGAUAAUUUAUGGAAAGUGGACUUCAAACAUGCAAUCAGUGCAAAAACAGAGCUAUUCAUAAACAGAUGUUCAAUACAACUUUAGCUUGUGUUGUUUCCUUUUAUGUUACUUUGGCUCUGGUAGCUACUUAAUCUUUUCCCAUUCACUUUAUCAUUAUUAUUAUAAGGUACUAUAGUAAAGUGAUGAUUGAUAAUUUUCAUUAACCUAAGUUAAAAAUAACCAUUCCCAAUAUUUUAGAGAAUAUUAUCAAUCAGAGAUUCAUAUUAUACUAAACUGAAGGUAAGCUUUGCCAAAGUUUCAUUCACAUGCUCCAUCUGUAAUGAAGGAAAUGAUGUUGCAUGCUGUUGUUAAUUGCCAUCAAGAUGGUUUCAAAUUAUGGUGACCCUAUAAAUGAUGGCACCAACUGUCAUCAACAACCUUGCUCAAUCCUGCAAACUCAGACUUGUGGCAUCCUGGAUUGAGUCUUAUCCAUCUAUAACAUAUUUUCCCGUUUUUCUAUUGCCUCCACUUUGCCAUGCAUUAUUGAUCUUUCUAAUGAGUUAUGUUGUCUUGUGACAUGGUCAAGGUACAACAGCCUCAGUUUGGACAUUCUAGCUUCUAGGCCAGUGGUGUCAAAAUAAUUUUCACUGAGGGUCAUCAUGGUUGCCUUCAAAGUGCCGUUUGUAAUUGUAAGACUGUACAAAAUAACUAUGUUGCCCUGGCAUUCAGAGAAUUGCAGACCACAUAGAAUGUGGUGGGUCGAUUUGGCCCAUGAGCCUCGUGUUUGACACAUAUGGUCUAAUGAGUGUUUGAGAUUGAUUUGUUCAAUUUUUUGUCUUUUUGGCAGUCAUUGAUAUCUGUAAAAGUCUUUUACAGCAUCACAUUUGGGUCAGUUCCAUUUCUACCAUCUUUCUUCACCAUUUAGCUUUCACAACCAUGCAUAGAGAUUGGAAAUACAAUGAUAUUCAUGAUCAUGACUUUUGAAUUUGAUUAUAUAUUUUUUUUUACACUUGAGAAUCAUCUGUUCUUUGAUAGCUGACCUUCCAAAUCUUCUGAUUUUUUUCUCCAUUUGAAUUAAGACUGAGCCAGGGUAUAGAAAGUCUUUGAUUAUUUUGAUGUCUUCAUUGUCCACUCUGUAAAUAAUUUGUGUUCAUUAUUUUUUCCUUGAUGUUCAACUGUAAACCUGCUUUGUAUUUUUCUCUUUGACCUUUCUGUUUUCUGCUAGUGGUAUGGUGUCAUUUGCUUAUCUUAAAUAGACAUUCCUUCCUUCAGUUUUCAUGCCUCCUCCUUCUGAGUGUCUUUCUAUGAUUUAAGUGUAGCAUUAGUAGAAAAACAUGCCUAACAAUGUCCAGCUAUGGGGAUUUGUAUUGUGGGUUCUUUACAUUUCAGAUUUUUUGAACUUGAAAAAGGUGUUUUCCAUGAAAUGUUUAUUCUUUCUCUGAAUCCCAGUUUUAAUGUGGCCCAUACAUUAUAUCUUAAAUUAUUGUUUAUUUAGUUGGAUUUUUAGAAGUGCUGAUGUAACAGCUGUCUUGGCAUACCUGUUUUACCUUAUAGAAUUGCUGUCAACUAAAUCUGUGACUGUUAUUUCUUCCAGGAAAGCAAAUAUAAGGAAUUCUCAUAAAGAUAAAUCCCGUCAAUCUGAGAGGACCCAAUGGACACACAAUGCAGAUGGUCAUGUGACAAUGACUGCUCUGCUGUUUGCCAAGUUGGCCAUUUAGUAUGUGGUGAAUGAAUAGAUUUUGCUCCCCUUCUUUCAUUAAUGCACUGAAUGGAGAUUUGCGGAAGUGCUUCAGCAAAUAACUGCUGGGCUGCAUUGCAUUCCCAUUAGAUCUUAUACUGGCAACCCCCGAAAGGCAUGUGAAUAACUAUCCUUAAAAUUGAAGCUACUUUGAUUAUUUGAAUGAAAUGUGAAACAAUGCUGGCUGUGAUAAAAUAUUCAGAUAAGAGCUUAUGCCUCACAUUGUCACUUCACUGCAGUGCACCGACUGGCAAAGAUGAGAACGGAUACAGAUUCACAAAACCACUUUUGAAAAAAGUAAUCACAUGAAGGGGGUCCUGUGGUCCUAACCUCAGUGAAUCUGGAAGGUUGACUGUAUACACUUCUGAAUAGUUCUGCAUCAAAGACAAGCAUGGUAGUGAAAGCUGGACAGUGAAGAAAGCUGAUAGGAAUAAAAUCAACACAUUUGAAAUGUGGUUCCGGAGAACAGUUCUAAAGAUACUCUGGACUGACAUAAAGACAAAUGAACGGGUCUAAGAGCAACUCAAGCCUGACAUCAUUUUACAGUAUUGACUCAUAAGAAACACAAUAAUGCUUAAUAAGAUAGAAGGAAGUAGAAAAAGACAAAGUCUACAUUACAUGGGGAUGGACUCAAUCCCAGCCUUGGUUAGCAAGUCCUGAACAGGUGACUGAUAUCAAGGUGAUUUGGAGGUCUAACAUACACAGGAUCAAUAUUUUGACUUGUCAAGUCAAGAUGUUGACUUAACAGCAAAAAAUAGCAACAAACCAAAGAUAUAAUUGUGGUAGUGUGCAUUGCCACCUGAGCUGGUCUAGCUGUAGUAGUAACCUGUGUGAGACAGAGAAGACGUCAACCCUAAAUACUGUGUAGCUAAUUUUAUUCCACUACUUUGUGAACAUAUUGGGUAUAUUUAUUUGCAUCACUGUACAAAGUGUUGGUUUUGAAUUUUAAAGCCCUACAUGUUUUGGGUCCAGGUUACCUACAGGAUUGCUUUCUCCCGUAAAAUCCUCCCCGCACAUUUUGUUCCAAUGAGGGCAGCUACUCCAGCCUGCCAGAACCCGACUGGCAAUCGUCACUCAGAGGACUUUUUCAUCAAAUGGCCCAAGACUGUGGAAUUUAAGCAAUUGUGUUAAACCAUCCCUCCACCUCACCCACCCUAUUAACUUUCAAGACAAAACCCUAGCCCACCCCGAGUUUUAACUUAAUGUUCAUGUGGUCUGCCCUUGUUUUUAUUGUCUCCUUGUUUUAUUUUGUAAUGGAUAUUAUUUACUGUAUUGUUUAUUGUAUUGUGUUGUGCUGUUCUUUAUAUGCUGUUUACAUUGUAUUGCUUUGGGCGUGGCCCCAUGUAAGCCGCCCCGAGUCCCCAUUGGGGAGAUGGUGGCGGGGUAUAAAUAAAGUUUUAUUAUUAUUAUUA